rnacentral:lncRNA from 1 species
GAAAUUAUUGGAUGAAAUUUUGGAACUUAAAGAAAAAUGACACAUCAAUUAUAUUUUAAGCUAAAGUGAAAAGAGGUGUGGAUUUCAAUUUUGGGGUGCACAUUGAGAUGGACUUGACUCCAUGCUUCCUGCAGCUCAUUGAUUCAAUUAGCAAAGGAAAUGAAGAAGUGGUGUUGGAAUUUAGUGAGCAACUGCACACGCACAUGGCAAUUCUUGUGCUGCUGCCUUCAAGAGAUAAAAGGGAAAUUAUUGUCACAUCCGGCUUAUGGACAACACGUUGCAUCACACAUGAUAUUAUUCAUUCUUGAAUAGCAUAGUUUGGACUUUAAAAGGGUGACAUCCAACAUGGCCCAUGGAAUAGGCAACAAUACUUUGAUUUAUUUUCUUCUAGCCAGCACAUCACGGCCCAUGGCAGCCUCUUCCAUCCAGUAAUUGCAUCCCGCUGAAGCCACAAUGCCACGUCCACAAGCUGGUCCACCGCCUCACCCAUAUAUAUAUGCGGAGUUUAAUUGGAAGAAGGGUAUGGGUCACGACCCACAAUUAAUUGCUGCAGCACAUUGAGAAAAGAAGGUCCAGCUUGAGUAGCUCACGGACUACCAUGGCCUAGUAAUUAGGCCAGAGGUGUGUCACAACUUGCUCAAUCAAUUUGGAGGUGCUUGAAAAGGUGUUGAUUCUCUUGGGAUGAUUGAGAGCACCACGAACCAGGUUGUAUUCUUUGAGAUGAAAGUGUUUUUCAAUUGAAAGAGGAGUGACGUCCAGAACACAGCUACAACGCACACAAGGAGCAACUACUUAUUCCAUUUAAAACUCAAUAAAAGAAGUGCAGCAGUCCAGAGCUCACGCCCCUGUAGCAAAGAUGCGGUCCACCAAGAUCCAACAUGUGCACGACCCGACAACUUCAGCAACAUGCUUCUUCAAUCAUGAAGCUCACGGUCCAUGCAAAUAAAAAGGAACGUCCAACAAGCAACUGCAACAAGGCUGCACUCAAAUUCUUCACGGACAACAGCCCAUAACACACAUGCAACAAACAUUUGAAGAGGCUGCCACAUCAAGAAAUAGAAGCCUUCACGGCCCAAGCUUCACGACAUUUGAAGAGGUGCUUCAUGAUCCACGACCCAUGGGAAAGCUGCAGUAUUAAAAGGCACAAGGCCAGCUACAAGAGAAAGAGCUUGGUGCACAUGGAAAUUCCUGCAGCUUUGAUAAAGGCAUGUAGCGUCCAGCAUGGGCAGUGGAGCCCAAUCAUUGAUUGAUGAAGAAGUCCAACUACACAGCAGCAGCUUUGGAGCACAUGCAUGCUUUUCAUAUUACUGUAGCUCACGGCCCACAUGGGAGACACACAACCCUAGACUUAUUCCUAGGAGGGCCGUCACUUAUUUUGAGGGGGGCAUACUAUUGUUAGAUUGGCUGGAAGGGGAUUCUAAGGAGCCGCCACCCUAGAGAAAAGACUUUACUUUUGUUUUUGUAUAGCACACAGAGAAUUCGAAUGGAGGGAUACAGAUAGCUAUUGGGCAACACAUUGAUUGUUUUUAUCUUUUUGGAAAAAUGCUGCUUCAUUUUGGGAAGAGUGAUGCGCACAUUUUGAGAGUUCAACAAAGUUUUCUUCUUUUCUUUAUUUCUUAAUGCUUGGAUUAGUCUACAAGUUGAAUACGGUUGAAUGAUGUUAAUAUUUUAAUCUAAUUGCAAUGAUUUUUCAGUUUGGGUUCUUUUAGUUUCAAUGUAAAUUAU